rnacentral:tRNA from 1 species
AGGUAGGGUGGCCGAGUAGGUGGCGAGUUGUAGCCUCGUUUACGGGAAACAUGCCCCCCCACCAA